CAGUAAUUUAGAUAGAAUUAACAAAUACCAAAAAUCAGUCUGAUUAGUUAUCCAUUGGUGACUGCUUCUGUGGCAAAGAUGACAGAAAGACUGUCAAACAUUGAACUCCUUUAAGUGAAUUUACAAGGUUAACAUUUUUCAGAUAAUGAUCAUGAAAAAUGACAUUGUGUAACAUUUUUUCAUCAUUUCAGAUGAGGCUGUGGACCCAGGCUAGACAGAUGGGAUGGUAUGCAGCAAAGUGCAUGGCUGCAGCGAGUUCAGGAGACUAUAUUGACAUGGAUUUCAGCUUUGAACUGUUUGCUCAUGUGACAAAAUUUUUUAACUAUAAGGUUGUACUGCUGGGAAAAUACAAUGCACAGGGCUUAGGUUCAGAUCAUGAAUUAAUGCUGAGAUGUACCAAAGGACAAGAAUACAUCAAAGUCGUCAUGCAAAAUGGACGAAUGAUGGGAGCUGUCUUAAUUGGUGAAACUGAUUUAGAAGAAACAUUUGAAAACCUAAUCUUAAACCAAAUGAAUCUUUCAUCAUAUGGAGAAGAUCUGCUAGAUCCAAAUAUUGAUAUAGAAGAUUAUUUUGACUAAAAAUGGAAUUUCUUCAGGAAUCAUAUAAAGUUCCAAAUGACACCAGAAAAAUCACAAGUCAAUAAAAUGAAU
rnacentral:sRNA from 1 species